UGCAAUGAUGAUGAAACUAGAAAAAAAAGGAAGUGCCGUCCGAUGCGACAACUGACGACAUCCCUAGUUAGCUGACU
rfam:Mus musculus chromosome 11, GRC primary reference assembly.